CCUACGGGGGGCAGCAGUGGGGGAUAUUGCACAAUGGGGGGAACCCUGAUGCAGCGACGCCGCGUGGGUGAAGAAGCGCCUCGGCGCGUAAAGCCCUGUCAGCAGGGAAGAAAAUGAAGGUACCUGAAGAAGAAGCCCCGGCUAACUAGGUGCCAGCAGCCGAGGUAAUACGUAGGGUGCCAGCGUUAUCCGGAUUUACGGGGUGUAAAGGGGGCGCAGACGGCGAUGCAAGCCAGGAGUGAAAGCUCGGGGCCCAACCCCGGGACUGCACUUGGAACUGGGUGGCUGGAGUGCAGUGGGGGCAGGCGGAAUUCGUGGUGUAGCGGUGAAAUGCGUAGAUAUCAGGAGGAACACCGGUGGCGAAGGCGGCCUGCUGGACUGCAACUGACGUUGAGGCCCGAAAGCGUGGGGAGCAAACAGGAUUAGAUACCCCUGUAGUC
rnacentral:rRNA from 1 species